rnacentral:rRNA from 1 species
UCAGAUUGAACGCUGGCGGCAGGCCUAACACGAUGCAAGUCGAGCGGAUGACAGGAGCUUGCUCCUGAAUUCAGCGGCGGACGGGUGAGUAAUGCCUAGGAAUCUGCCUGGUAUGGGGGACAACGCUUCGAAAGGAACGCUAAUACCGCAUACGUCCUACGGGAGAAAGCAGGGGACCUUCGGGCCUUGCGCUAUCAGAUGAGCCUAGGUCGGAUUAGCUAGUUGGUGAGGUAAUGGCUCACCAAGGCGACGAUCCGUAACUGGUCUGAGAGGAUGAUCAGUCACACUGGAACUGAGACACGGUCCAGACUCCUACGGGAGGCAGCAGUGGGGAAUAUUGGACAAUGGGCGAAAGCCUGAUCCAGCCAUGCCGCGUGUGUGAAGAAGGUCUUCGGAUUGUAAAGCACUUUAAGUUGGGAGGAAGGGCAUUAACCUAAUACGUUAGUGUUUUGACGUUACCGACAGAAUAAGCACCGGCUAACUCUGUG